GACUCUCGGCAAUGGAUAUCUCGGCUCUCGCAUCGAUGAAGAGCGCAGCGAAAUGCGAUACGUGGUGCGAAUUGCAGAAUCCCGCGAACCAUCGAGUCUUUGAACGCAAGUUGCGCCCGAGGCCAGCCGGUCGAGGGCACGUCUGCCUGGGCGUCAAGCAUCG
rnacentral:rRNA from 1 species